CAAAACUGGGUGACUAAAGUCAAAGAAAAUGGAGUAUAGCACAUUAAUAGAAUUUUGACUGAAACUGCACCUGUAUUGUGUCUGCAAAGAAUGGAUAGCAGAAGUGGUGAAACAUCAAUAAGAAAUCAGAUAUGCCAAGAGAGGCAUUGGCUUGAGGCAACAAAGGGAUAAAAAGUCCCAAUGAGAAGCCAGUUCCUAAAGAAAAACACACACAAAAAAAAAUUCAUUACUGGAGGACUGGACGUUGAUGGCAUGAUGGAAUGGAGGAGAGGAGGAUGGGGAGGAAGACAGACAAGAUCCGAGAAGACAGUCAUGAGAGAGGACUUUGGAUGUGCGCAGCGUGCCAGAGCUACACAACAGCUGUGUAGCAUCACAAGUCAGUGCCGCUAUGUGAGGCCCCGUUAUAACAGAGAGGAUGACGCCGAGGAAGCUACAGUAGAGCGUGCCGGUAACAUCACCAUGCCCAGGAAAAACAGGAGAAAAUCGUGGUGGCACGGAGAUUAUGUUAUGUAAUAUUUUUCGUAUGUUCCUGUUUCUAUUUUCUUUUGUGCUUAUGUUUUGUUUUGUUGUUGUUGUGAUAGCUGGGUUGGCUAUCACACAAACAGCUCGCCUGCUCGCCUGCCGGUGAGCCGUUUAACCGCAUUCGUCCCCCGAAAUAUUGUUCGUCCCCUGGGUCGAUAUAUUGACAAAUUUUUUGGUCGUCUCCCGAAUUGUUCGUCCUUAGAGACGUUCGUCAAGCAAGGUUUUACUGUAUCAUAUAAAAUGUUAACUAAUACAAGAGUGGCAUUUCAAUUCAUGGACAAAGAUAUGAUGAAAAAAAUCAUCACAAGCAUGAUACAUCCAAAGCUGAAAUAUGCAGCAGUGGUGUGGUCUCCGAGCUCUAAAAUAGAUAUAAAAAGAUUAGAACGGAUUCAGGAGAUUGCUACAAUGAUGGUGCCAGAACUAAAGGACCUAACAUAUGAAGAAAGGCUCAAGGAAAUGGGACUGCCAACCUUAAAAGAUAGAAGAGAAUGAGGAGGCCUAAUAACAAUGUACAAGAUAGUCAAUAAAUCUGAAAAGAUAGACAAGGAAAACCUGGUGCGGGUGACAGAACAAGAUAGGAUAAGAGGACAUGUAAAGAGGAUUAGGAUGAGGCAGUGUGUGGAGGAUAUUAGAAAAUACAGUUUUCCACAUAAAACAGUGGAAAAUUAGAAUGCGAUGAGUGAUAAAGUUGUUAUAGCACAUAAUGCACAUAACUUCAAAGAAAAAUUGGAUAAAUGGAGACAUGGAGACAGAACACUAUGAUCCCCUCUUUAUCCCUGUACAAUACAACUAGGUUAAU